rnacentral:rRNA from 1 species
AGAGUUUGAUCAUGGCUCAGAUUGAACGCUGGCGGCAGGCCUAACACAUGCAAGUCGAGCGGUAACAGAAAGUAGCUUGCUACUUUGCUGACGAGCGGCGGACGGGUGAGUAAUGCUUGGGAACAUGCCUUGAGGUGGGGGACAACAGUUGGAAACGACUGCUAAUACCGCAUAAUGUCUACGGACCAAAGGGGGCUUCGGCUCUCGCCUUUAGAUUGGCCCAAGUCAGAUUAGCUAGUUGGUGGGGUAAUGGCUCACCAAGGCGACGAUCUGUAGCUGGUCUGAGAGGAUGAUCAGCCACACUGGGACUGAGACACGGCCCAGACUCCUACGGGAGGCAGCAGUGGGGAAUAUUGCACAAUGGGCGAAAGCCUGAUGCAGCCAUGCCGCGUGUGUGAAGAAGGCUCUAGGGUUGUAAAGCACUUUCAGUGGGGAGGAAAAGCUCAAAAUUAAUACUUUUGAGCCUUGACGUUACCUGCAGAAGAAGCACCGGCAAACUCCGUGCCAGCAGCCGCGGUAAUACGGAGGGUGCGAGCGUUAAUCGGAAUUACUGGGCGUAAAGCGCGCGUAGGUGGUUUGAUAAGCUAGCUGUGAAAGCCCUGGGCUCAACCUGGGAACUGCAGUUAGAACUGUCUGGCUAGAGUAUAGUA